AAAAGCACUUUUCUGUCUCCCAG
rnacentral:miRNA from 1 species